rnacentral:tRNA from 1 species
GGGGAUCUAGCUUAUUGGUAGAGUGCUUGCCUCCCAUGCACAAAGCCCUGGGUUCAAUCCCCAGGACCACAA